rnacentral:rRNA from 1 species
UACGGAGGGGCGAGCGUUAUUCGGAAUUAUUGGGCGUAAAGGGCGCGUAGGCGGCUUGGUAAGUCAAAGGUGAAAUCCCUCGGCUCAACUGAGGAAUUGCCUUUGAAACCUACCUGGCUCGAGGCCGGGAGGGGUAGCGGAAUUCCCAGUGUAGCGGUGAAAUGCGUAGAUAUUGGGAGGAACACCGGUGGCGAAGGCGGCUACCUGGACCGGUUCUGACGCUGAUGCGCGAAAGCGUGGGAG